rnacentral:rRNA from 1 species
UAUCGACGGCGGUGUUUGGCACCUCGAUGUCGGCUCAUCACAUCCUGGGGCUGAAGUAGGUCCCAAGGGUAUGGCUGUUCGCCAUUUAAAGUGGUACGCGAGCUGGGUUUAGAACGUCGUGAGACAGUUCGGUCCCUAUCUGCCGUGGGCGCUGGAGAACUGAGGGGGGCUGCUCCUAGUACGAGAGGACCGGAGUGGACGCAUCACUGGUGUUCGGGUUGUCAUGCCAAUGGCACUGCCCGGUAGCUAAAUGCGGAAGAGAUAAGUGCUGAAAGCAUCUAAGCACGAAACUUGCCCCGAGAUGAGUUCUCCCUGAGACUUAGAGUCUCCUGAAGGAACGUUGAAGACGACGACGUUGAUAGGCCGGGUGUGUAAGCGCAGCGAUGCGUUGAGCUAACCGGUACUAAUGAACCGUGAGGCUUAACCUUACAACGCCGAAGCUGUU